AUUGAACGCUGGCGGCAUGCCUUACACAUGCAAGUCGAACGGCAGCGGACCUUCGGGUGCCGGCGAGUGGCGAACGGGUGAGUAAUGUAUCGGAACGUACCUUUCAGUGGGGGAUAACGCAGCGAAAGUUACGCUAAUACCGCAUAUUCUGUGAGCAAGAAAGCAGGGGAUCGCAAGACCUUGCGCUGAUUGAGCGGCCGAUAUCAGAUUAGCUAGUUGGUGAGGUAAAGGCUCACCAAGGCGACGAUCUGUAGCGGGUCUGAGAGGAUGAUCCGCCACACUGGAACUGAGACACGGUCCAGACUCCUACGGGAGGCAGCAGUGGGGAAUUUUGGACAAUGGGGGCAACCCUGAUCCAGCCAUGCCGCGUGAGUGAAGAAGGCCUUCGGGUUGUAAAGCUCUUUCGUCCGGGAAGAAAUCGCAUCAGCUAAUACCUGGUGUGGAUGACGGUACCGGAAUAAGAAGCACCGGCUAACUACGUGCCAGCCGCCGCGGUAAAAC
rnacentral:rRNA from 1 species